rnacentral:rRNA from 1 species
GACGAACGCUGGCGGCGUGCCUAAUACAUGCAAGUAGAACGCACAGUUUAUACCGUGGCUUGCUACACCAUAGACUGUGAGUUGCGAACGGGUGAGUAACGCGUAGGUAACCUGCCUGGUAGCGGGGGAUAACUAUUGGAAACGAUAGCUAAUACCGCAUAAUAUUAAUUAUUGCAUGAUAAUUAAUUGAAAGGUGCAAUUGCACCACUACCAGAUGGACCUGCGUUGUAUUAGCUAGUAGGUGAGGUAACGGCUCACCUGGGCGACGAUACAUAGCCGACCUGAGAGGGUGAUCGGCCACACUGGGACUGAGACACGGCCCAGACUCCUACGGGAGGCAGCAGUAGGGAAUCUUCGGCAAUGGACGAAAGUCUGACCGAGCAACGCCGCGUGAGUGAAGAAGGUUUUCGGAUCGUAAAGCUCUGUUGUAAGAGAAGAACGGGUGUGAGAGUGGAAAGUUCACACUGUGACGGUAUCUUACCAGAAAGGGACGGCUAACUACGUG